UGGCUCAGUUGGUAAAGCCUGGCACUUGCAACGCCAGGGUUGUGGGUUUAAUUCCCAU
rnacentral:tRNA from 1 species